CAGCCGCCGCGGUAAAACGUAGGUGGCAAGCGUUGUCCGGAAUUACUGGGCGUAAAGGGCUCGCAGGCGGUUUCUUAAGUCUGAUGUGAAAGCCCCCGGCUCAACCGGGGAGGGUCAUUGGAAACUGGGAAACUUGAGUGCAGAAGAGGAGAGUGGAAUUCCACGUGUAGCGGUGAAAUGCGUAGAGAUGUGGAGGAACACCAGUGGCGAAGGCGACUCUCUGGUCUGUAACUGACGCUGAGGAGCGAAAGCGUGGGGAGCGAACAGGAUUAGAUACCCCAGUAGUCCCUGUCUCUUAUAC
rnacentral:rRNA from 1 species